UGUGUUAGCCGGUGCCAUAGUCUGUUGGAAGGAUCCGGACACGCGAGGCCGGCGUGUGUUGGAUGCUCGUAUUUCUUUUCUCUUUUUUCUUCUUUUUCCGCAAUGGAGAACGAUAUUUUGGACUCGCUGGAGGACCUAGGGUACGAUGGAGACAUUAGCAAUGAGACCACCUUGAGAGCAGCCGUGGAGGGAAGCGAGGGGGGACCCAAGAGUGUUUCAUACACAAAGCUUGUUGCCUGGAUCACCUCAGAGUUGCGCGUCUUGGCCAAGCUGGAGGAGAUGGUGAAUGCCACGUCAUCCCCAGACGAGCACUCAUCCUUCCUCAUGGAGCUCUCGGCAUUUCUCAAGGAAUUAGGAUGUCCUCAUACACAACUGACUGAAGGACCUGUCAGCCAGCGAUUGACAUCCACAGAAACGCGGCUUCUGUUGCUGGAUUUCCUUCUGGCUGAACUUAUGGCAGCUCGCAUGUUAUCCAGUGCCACCCCUGAGCAAGGCAUGACAGUGGAAAUGCGUGAGAGUGAACAUGCACGAGACCUGAAGGCUCUGCUGAUUGCUCUUGGCUUUCCCAAACCCCCAGCCAACAUCACUCCACAGCAGCUCUUUAUGAAAGUCGAACAGAAGGUGAAUGAUGUGAAGAGUAAAGCCCACCCCUCUCUCAUUGGCAAACCCCUGUUUAAUGGAACUCUGUCAGACAAGCAGUGGGCUCUGUUGGACGAGAUGCAGAAAGAAAUGCAGUCGGAAUACCAAAUGAGACGCGAGAUGUUGAUCAAGCGUCUGGAUGUCACUGUGCAGUCUUUCCAGUGGUCCAACAAAGCCAAAAUGCGAGAAAAUGACCUGGUGAAAGCAUUCCGAUCCCGAAGAGACCAACUGACAGAAAUCCCGAGUGUAUCUGUGGGAGACAUGCUAGCAGCUAGGGAAGACUUAGCAGUCUUAGAGAAGACUAGCAAUGCAUCUGUGCGCAAGGCUACUAAAACACCCCUGAAUAAGGUUCUGAUAGGAAAGGUUCCAGAUCGAGGUGGCCGAGCGCAUGAGCUGGAGCCUCCCCCACCUGAGAUGCCAUCGUGGUCGCAGAGGCAGCCGGGAGGAGGAGGUCAGGGUGGGAGUAGUAGUACUCAGCAAGGUGGUUCAGGUGGAUUUGGAGGUGGUCAACAAGGUGGUUCAGGUGGCUAUGGAGGUGGUCAGCAAGGUAGUCAGGGAGGCUAUAUUAGUGGUCAACAAGGCUUUCAGGGAGGCUUUGGAGGCCAAGGUAGUCAAGGUGGAUAUGGUGGUGGUGGACAGCAAGGUGGUCAAGGUGGCUAUGGUGGUGGUGGCCAACAAGGCUUUCAGGGAGGCUUUGGAGGUCAAGGUGAGCCUGGAGUACCUGUUCCAUCUUGUUUAUUUGCAAUUUCCUGGAAUUACCUGGACAGUCGAGUCAACAUUUACAAUUCAGGGCUAUUAAUUGCCCCAUGGUUUCAUCAGACAAGGGAAUUGGAAUGCCAUAGGAAGAGUUUGCCAGGAAUUUGCUUCCCUUACAAUAACAUCUUGACACAUUUCAAGCCUAUUAGAGUAAUUCUAAGAGAAACUCUCAGAUUCUGAGGAAAGAAAAUCAAUCUCAUAAGAGAAGGGCAUAGGGCAGAUUAAAGGAAUAUUAAUUAAGUAUAUACUGUGAUAUAUCCUGCAGGUGUUCAGGUUGGCUAUAGUAGCAGUCAGCAAGGCUAUCAGGGAGGAUAUGGGGGUGGACAGCAAG